UCAGACGAUGCGUCAUGCAUAUCAAUAAGCGGAGGAAAAGAAACUAACAAGGAUUCCCCUAGUUACGGCGAGUGAAGCGGGAAGAGCUCAAAUUUGAAAUCUUAAAGGGUUUCCCUUUACGAAUUGUAGUUUAAAGAAGUGUUUUCUGUUGAGGUUUUGGUAAAAGUUCUUUGGAAUAGGACAUCAUAGAGGGUGAGAAUCCCGUAUUUGACCUUUACUUUCAACUUUGUGAUACACUUUCAAAGAGUCGGAUUGUUUGGGAAUGCAGUCCAAAAUGGGUGGUAAAUUUCAUCUAAAGCUAAAUAUUGGCGAGAGACCGAUAGCGAACAUGUACCGUGAGGGAAAGAUGAAAAGAACUUUGAAAAGAGAGUUAAACAGUACGUGAAAUUGUCAAAAGGGAAGCGUUUGACACCAGUGUUGUUUUUCUGAAAAUCAAUUAAAGAACUGUUUAUGCUAAGUUGUUUAGACUUUAUCAGCUAACUGUUUAGUUUUGAGCUUUUCUUUAAUGCACUUUUCAGUUAACAAGUCAACAUCAAUUUCUUUUGCUGUAAAAAAGCUUGAGGAAGGUGGCUUGAGAUUCGUCUUAAGUGUUUAUAGCCUCUUGCCUAUGCAGUCGGAGAGACUGAGGUCUGCAGCGUAGAUCCUUCGGGGCUAAAUGCAUUUGUGCUAAGUUAUAGCAUUUUAUAGACAACUUGUUGACUAUGAUUUGUCUUGUAGCUUACUCGCUUAUGUUAUUUUACCUACGCUUAGGAUGUUGAGCGCAUGUCUCUCUCU
rnacentral:rRNA from 1 species